rnacentral:rRNA from 1 species
GCGUCUUCGGGUGGGUUCGGGAGCGAGCGAGCGGCUCUAAGUACCGCUGGCUACGCCGACCCUCGCUUGCGCGUGCCCACCCCCUCAAGCCGCUCGAGAACGCCUGGACGACCGGUAGCACACUCGGUCGUUGGCGGCGACGGCGGUCGUCGUCUUCGUCCCCCGCGCCCGCCUCUAGGGAAGCACCCCGGCCGUAGCCGGCUCCUUCUGGGGCUACCGCGACGGCCUACUCUUCGGGCGCCGGCUACUACUAUCCUCGCUCCCGUAGCGGUCGGGCCUGUGGGGCGAGCGGAAGGGGCUCCUGCUGCUCGUACUGCUCCGCCGCCGCCGUUUCCUACUCCGGUUCCGGUCGCGUGUUCUGUUCACCAGCUCCACCUCGAUAUCCGGUAGUUCCAACGGAUACAGCACCCUACUCCUUCUCCUACCGCUUACCCUCUGUGGCUUCUAACUGUUGUGAUGAGGGGUUCACACUUCUCCGUGGACCAACACCACUUACCUUCUCCGGCUACUUCGUCUUAGGCAGGUUGUUUCUCUUCACCGUACGCGGGGACUAACUGUUUGGGUCUACAAGAUUACAGAAUUUUCUCGUCUUUUAGAAACUUGUUCCCCACCUACCCUCAUGUGUCAAACCAGGGGACACGUCUUAUUUUGUCAAAAUACUAUGUAUUCGAUGUUAAAAGUCUUGACUUUGUGUCCUAACGCGACGGAACGGGACGGGCUAGCUGCGGCCGAUGUAGCGAUGUGAGGGGUACCGGUCGAUAGACUCGAUUACGUCUUCGUACUAUACAACGGUUAGGAACACAGGAAACGUAGAAGUACGAGUAGCGUUCAUCAAUCAGAGGAUAAAAUACCAUGUAUAAGAAGGACGUACAUGGAGUCACGUACUAAAAGGACAUGUACCUCGGUAAGUAACCUUUACGGAAGAGAAUGUGGAACACUACCACGUCUGAAACGUUCACAAGUUUCUUUACUACACGAUAAGUUCCCCAAACCCUCGUGAUUAUUUCUUAGAGAACGCCUUGAAAAACAUGGCGAUUACUCAGUUCAGCAGGGAGACGUAGGGCUUGAGGUUUUACUCGUUCAGUCUCUGAUUGAGAUAUUUCCUGUCGGACCCUACUUACCACAUGAAAACGUCGAGAUUUUGUUUACUCUUCCCUUUAAGUUCUUUAGUUCCCCUCAACACCUGACCCACCUCUACUGUUCUCCCGACGUGCUCAAUUCAUUCACCGUCGUCUCCAAUGACUUACGGCGUUUCGUAGCACCUUAUUCACCUGUUCGUUCGUCAAAGAUGGUCGAAAUUGACGAGUAUCGACUCUCUCCUAUAGAAGAGAUCUCCUAAACGAUUAUAUCAUGUGGUGUCGAAUCGAUGUCGUUGACACAGUGGGUGACCUCCAACUGUUGGGGCUGGAUUUAACCGUCACCCCGUGUCUUGUGACCCGAUCACACGACUGACUAGGGCAAACGGUGAUAUCUCUACAAAGGUCGUUACCAUACAGAUGGUCUUGGUUAGCGUUACCCAAUUGUACCUACCUCCUU